rnacentral:rRNA from 1 species
GCUUGUCUCAAAGAUUAAGCCAUGCAUGUCUAAGUGUAAAUACGUCUACACUGUGAAACUGCGAAUGGCUCAUUAAAUCAGUUAUCGUUUAUUUGAUGAUCUCUUGUUACAUGGAUAACCGUAGUAAUUCUAGAGCUAAUACAUGCGCCCAGACCCAACUUUUAGGAAGGGUUGUAUUUAUUAGGUACAGAACCAAUGCAAGCUCCGCUUGACCUUUUGGUGAUUCAUGGUAACCGAACGAAUCGCACGGCACCAGCUGGCGAUGGACCAUUUCAGUUUCUGACCUAUCAGCUUCCGACGGUAGGAUAUGGGCCUACCGUGGCAAUGACGGGUAACGGAGAAUUAGGGUUCGAUUCCGGAGAGGGAGCCUGAGAAACGGCUACCACAUCUAAGGAAGGCAGCAGG